GAUGAACGCUGGCGGCGUGCCUAAUACAUGCAAGUCGAGCGAACGGACGAGAAGCUUGCGUCUCUGAUGUUAGCGGCGGACGGGUGAGUAACACGUGGAUAACCUACCUAUAAGACUGGGAUAACUUCGGGAAACCGGAGCUAAUACCGGAUAAUAUUUUGAACCGCAUGGUUCAAAAGUGAAAGACGGUCUUGCUGUCACUUAUAGAUGGAUCCGCGCUGCAUUAGCUAGUUGGUAAGGUAACGGCUUACCAAGGCAACGAUGCAUAGCCGACCUGAGAGGGUGAUAGGCCACACUGGAACGGAGACACGGUCCAGACUCCUACGGGAGGCAGCAGUAGGGAAUCUUCCGCAAUGGGGGAAAGCCUGACGGAGCAACGCGGCGUGAGUGAUGAAGGUCUUCGGAUCGUAAAACUCUGUUAUUGGGGAAGAACAUCUGUGUAAGUAACUGUGCACAUCUUGACGGUACCUAAUCAGAAAGCCACGGCUAACUACGUG
rnacentral:rRNA from 1 species